CAUUACCGAUCGUCUGAGAUCAUGGACGUAAAAUCUUGACAAGGGUAUUGUCUCUUCUUUCUCGAGGGAUCUCGGCGUCCGAGCUCCUUAGGACACCACGGAACGCUCUGCUGAUAGCUGCGCCCCUUCCCACUCAGCGGAGGCGAGGCCGGUGGUCGCACGACGCGCUGGAGGCUUGGCCGGAGGAGCGCGGACGUUUUGAUGAUCCCCGGGCACCAAACCCCGUGAACCAAGAAUCGUUAUGCGAUGUCGGGCGAGAGGCGUCUCGCCGAGCUCUUCGCGAGCUCGAAAAAAAGCGCCACCCACAAACCACACCAAACUCUGAAUCUGAACUCAAAAGGAGGCGCAGCGCCUCGCGCGCCGCGCCUUCUCAACCUUUAACGUUGUAAAACUUUCAGCGACGGAUGUCUUGGCUCCCACAACGAUGAAGAACGCAGCGAAAUGCGAUACGUCUUGCGACUUGCAGAAUCCAGUGAAUCAUCAAAUUUUUGAACGCAUCUUGCGCUUCCGGGAUAUGCCUGGGAGCAUGCUUGUCGGAGUGUCUGUUGACACAUCUCGCCCCCCUCCCGUCCUCUGUUAGGUCGGAGGGCGAAGGGGGCGGACUCUGCGUGUUCCGGAGCGCGAGCUCCGAGUGCACCGAACCUCGUGAACGCGAGACCUCUGUACUGCUGAUUGCACAAGAGUUGUUGACGGCGUGCUUGCUUCGGCGGCGCGACUCUCUACUCGUCACGUGCCUUGAGUGUGUGGAUUGGUCGUAGUUCCGGUUGUUGCGCGCCCCUGUCUCUCUCUUUCGCAGUGAGGCGAGGCGCAACACCCCCAACUUUCGUUCGGACCUCCGAUCAAGCAAGAGGACCCGCUGAAUUUAAG
rnacentral:rRNA from 1 species